GACGGGGGGGGCAAGUGUUCUUCGGAAUGACUGGGCGUAAAGGGCUCGUAGGCGGCCAACUAAGUCAGACGUGAAAUCCCUCGGCUUAACCGGGGAACUGCGUCUGAUACUGGAUGGCUCGAGUUUGGGAGAGGGAUGCGGAAUUCCAGGUGUAGCGGUGAAAUGCGUAGAUAUCUGGAGGAACACCGGUGGCGAAGGCGGCAUCCUGGACCAACACUGACGCUGAUGAGCGAAAGCCAGGGGAGCAAACGGG
rnacentral:rRNA from 1 species